UUAGCCUACGGGGCGCAGCAGUGGGGAAUAUUGGACAAUGGGGGGAACCCUGAUCCAGCGACGCCGCGUGAGUGAGGAAGUAUUUCGGUAUGUAAAGCUCUAUCAGCAGGGAAGAAAGAAAUGACGGUACCUGACUAAGAAGCCCCGACUAACUACGUGCCAGCAGCCGCGGUAAUACGUAGGGGGCAAGCGUUAUCCGGAUUUACUGGGUGUAAAGGGAGCGUAGACGGCGAUGCAAGUCUGAAGUGAAAGGCGGGGGCCCAACCACCGGACUGGUUUGGAAACUGGAUGGCUGGAGGGGAGGG
rnacentral:rRNA from 1 species